GACGAACGCUGGCGGCGUGCUUAACACAUGCAAGUCGAACGGAAAGGCCCUGCUUUUGUGGGGUGCUCGAGUGGCGAACGGGUGAGUAACACGUGAGUAACCUGCCCUUGACUUUGGGAUAACUUCAGGAAACUGGGGCUAAUACCGGAUAGGAGCUCCUGCUGCAUGGUGGGGGUUGGAAAGUUUCGGCGGUUGGGGAUGGACUCGCGGCUUAUCAGCCUGUUGGUGGGGUAGUGGCUUACCAAGGCUUUGACGGGUAGCCGGCCUGAGAGGGUGACCGGCCACAUUGGGACUGAGAUACGGCCCAGACUCCUACGGGAGGCAGCAGUGGGGAAUAUUGCACAGUGGGCGGAAGCCUGAUGCAGCAACGCCGCGUGCGGGAUGACGGCCUUCGGGUUGUAAACCGCUUUCGCCUGUGACGAAGCGUGAGUGACGGUAAUGGGUAAAGAAGCACCGGCUAACUACGUG
rnacentral:rRNA from 1 species